GUUUUUACCCCGGGAGCAGAAAUAAGAACUAAAAUACGUUUCAGACGGUGAAAAACUGGUCAAUGAUGCUGGAAUUGGGAGAACUGGUUCAUAAAGCAAAUCUCUGGUCCAGCGGGAAGUCAGGCAGCGAAACACUGUGCUGCCCCUUAUUGAAAGGCGAGAAGGAACUGCGGUUUGUCUGCAGCUGUUCAGGGGCUGAGGAUGGCCACACCUGGAACACCCCUAGGGAGUGCAGAGGUACGGUCGAGGAGACGUCCAUGAGAAGAUAGUGAAAAAGUUGGGCAUCUCCCAGUGUGAAGAUCCAAAGAUUCCCUGUGUUUUGUUUGUCUACAAAGUGUCUCGUGAAAUUCAGGAUUUUCAAAAUGCUCUCCAGUCGGUCACAGAGAGCCAAAGCGUAAAAAGUGAAGACAUCUGUGCUGUGGUCCUUCUGGAACUGAGUUUGGAUAAAUGGAAUAAGCCAGUGGAAGUUGCUCACCAAGGAGUGUUCGAUGAUAAUACUGUGGUUGUGCGAAUUAACCGCAUUCAGGAGGGUCCCAACAAUGGGGAGGCAAAGGAAAGGAUUAAACAGAGUAUCAUGGAUUGUCAGAGUGAUUAACAGUUACAAAGCUAAGUAUUUUUGCACUUGUUUAUCCCAAUGUGUGAUGUGACAAUAUCCUUCCCUCUACUGCCAUUGUCUGUUCUGAAGGUGACUCCACAUCCGUAAUAUCAGUUUUGUGCUGCCCUGAACUGGCCAGGGACCCCACUCAGUUCAGCUGUAGAGAGAAACUCUGUCAGUGUUUCAAAGAUAAAGUUACAUUCCACUUCCUCUAACUGUCCUGGUGAGGAAAUGUCAGACAACGGGCCUGCCAAAUACUAUUUUUGUUUCAGACCUGGCGAUCAUGUGUGCUCAAUCAUUUCCCCAUGACCAUGUCCUCAGUGCUUUCUGUAGAGUGGAAUAUAGUGCAGUGAUGAAGUAGCCAGUAAUUCCCUGUUUCCACUCUCCUUCAAUGAGGCACUGUUGUUGCUCAGUGACUCUGAAGCUGCUCAUUGGGCCUCAGUUGUUGUCCAAGAUCAUUUCGUCUCUCACCAUCACAUUUCAGUUUACCGUCCUAUCCGAUGGACUUCCCAUUUAUUGUGAUGUGCAUUAAUUAAAACAAUUCCGUUGUGCUGAACUAUUUAAAUUGGUAUAUAAGCACUUGCUAAACAAAUCCAUCCUUCCUACUCAUUGUCCAUAUUUCUCUAUUCUCUGCACCUGCAUGUGUCCAUGUAAAAGCUCUUAAACACCUCGACAAUGUUUGCCCCCGCUGCCCCUACUGGCAACACAUUCCAGGUACCCACCACUCUGUGUUUUUAAACUUACUCUGCACAUCUCACCUGCAAUGCAUGGUUUCUACUAUGGUACGUUCGACUGGCCGCACUCUCCUGCAAUGUAUGAUCUCCUAGAGAAGACAUUUUGUCCAUGAGGAAAGACCCCUUUCUGCCCUUUCUCUUCAUCUCAAGAUUUAAAAAUCUUGAUCAGAUUACCACUGCUCCAGAUAAACCAGAUCUAGUUUGUCAAAACUCACUUCAUAUCACAUGCACCCUAAUCCAGACAGCAUCCUGGCAAACUACUUCUACACCCUCUCCAAAGCCUCCACACCCUUCCUGCAAUGGUGUGACCAGAAAGGAAUGCAAUACUCUAGAAACUAGAUACAUCUCUGGAGUCUACAUUCAUCUUUACCAGAGUUUUAUAAAAUUGCAUCAAAACUUCGCGAUUCCUGACAACACACACAAAAUGCUGGAGGAACUCAGCAGACCAGGCAGCGUCUAUGAAAAGUAGUUCAGUCGACUUUUCAGCCCGAGACCUUUCAGCAGGACCUGGCCUGCUGAGUUCCUCCAGCAUUUUGUGUGUAUUGCUUGGAUUUCCAGCAUCUUCAGAUUUUCUCUUAUUUGUGAUUAUUCAUGUCUCUGGAACUCAGUUCAACAAAUAGUAAAGGCAAGCACGCUAAAGGCCUUUUAUACCACCAGAUCAACUUCUGCAGCCCGCUUCAAGGAGUGAUGAACUUGGACCCCAAGAUGUCAAUGUGCAUCAACACUGUUGAAGGUUCUGUUGCUACAAGUAUACUGCUGCUACAGAAAUGCAUAGGAAUGAAGAAGAGAAACAAUAUAACCCAAGACCAUGAGUAACAUUACUGUAGAUUGUCCUGGUUCAAGUUGUUCUUUCAUCUCUAAGUGAACACUGGGGAGCAGCACCAAAGGUGAGUAGCUUGGAUCAGUGAUAUCCACAGCUCCUGAUUGAGUAAAUGGAAGAUUGAUCAUAACAUGUUACAGAAGUCACACAGUGGAGACUAGCUCACUGAAUCUUAUGAUUGAAGAAGGUCAGAAGAAAGAGACGUCAUCAUACGGAAUCAUGAGUGAGCCAUGGAGGAAAGUUCACAGUGAAUACUGAAGGUUCAGGGAUCCUUUGGAAAGUCUGAUCACAUAACUGGUUGGGUAGCACAGUCUCCUACUGGGUCACUCGGACAUUUCUCCUCCCGAUUGUAUUGUCCAGGAAUAAAUGUAAUAAACAGAACCUGGGGAAUGAAAUCUGUGUAAUUCCACCACAGAGAAGCAAAGGGUGAAAAAGGACAACUGGAUUGUGAUCCUGUCAGAAAAAUCUUUGGAUAAUCUGUAUAAACCAGUCGAAGCUGCUCACCAGGGAAUGUUUGAUGCCAACAUCGUGAUUGUGCGAAUUCUCUGCAAUUCACCUGAUGAGAUUCAGGAGGUUCCCAGCAACGUGGAAGUGAUGAACAAAGUCAAACAGAGCAUCAGGUAGUGUCAUGUUUAAGAAGUUGUCUGUGUUUACUGGGAUGGACAAGCACUCCACAUUUGCGGCUUCACGUCAAUGGACAAGUGAAUGGAUAGAGAUGAUUAAAUGCACCGUUACCCUCCAUGUUCUGGUUAAUAUGGUCAGAAACAUCUACAGUAAUCUCAGAGUGACUUUGUAAUCGCCACAUCUGACCUUCUACAGAGAGUGGAACUGACCCGGUCUCAGAACCCCAAUCACUACUGUUGGAUUGGUAUUCCUUGUAGUUUUAGCAUUCUUUACACUCAUUCACAUAUUUGUAUAAUCAUCUGUUGUCAACAGACUUCUUGUAACUUGAACUAUAUUUGGUUCUUUAUUUCUGCCUUUCCUUUCCCUGCAAACUUGAAGGCUCAAUCAAUCAGCCUGUACUGAACACAUUCCUUAUCUAAACUGGCCUGGACUGGCUGAUGGUAGGAAAGCAAACCACUUGCUUCCGUUUCCUAGUUACAGACGGUCACUAUUUGUUCCUUCUCUGUCUUGCUUGUCAGUGCAAACUGACCCUAUCUGUCCUGAACCAUACAUUCCUUCAGUGAACCAGCUGGAAUUGUAAUAGGUGCCUCAUUCUUGACUUCUAAAAAUCCUUCUGUGCAACGUCGUCUCCAGAUAGACAGGAACACGGUUAAUCUUUCUGGAGUCACAGCAAGAGCCCUCGUGGUUCAUGUGUCCCUGUCCCAAAGGGCACAGUAGGAUAUGCAGCAGAUAAAUUAACCUUCCACAGGGCCUUAGUGAGAAGUGUGGGGUAUAAAUUACAACGGGAGAUAGUAAAAGCAUGUAAAAAUGGCAAUAGGGUUACAAUAGUCAUGCGGCAUUUCAAUGUGCAGGUAGAUAGCUGGAUCCCAAGAGAUGGAAUUUAUAAAUGGCUUUUUAAAGCAGCUUGUCCUUGAGCCAGUGGUUGUAGAUGGGUCAUAUCCUGCAUGGAGGUCAGUGACCAGUGGAGUGCCUCAGGGAUCUGUUCUAUGAUCCCUACUCUUUGUGAUUUUUAUAAAUGACCUGGAUGAGGAAGUGGAGGGAUGGUUAGUAAAUUUGCUGAUGACACAAAGGUUGGGUGUGUUAUAGAGAGUGUGGACAGCUGUCAGAAGUUGGAACAGGACAUUGAUAGGGCUGAGAAGCGGCAGAUGGAGUUCAACCCGGAUAAGUGUGAGGUGGUUCAUUUUGGUAGGUCAAAUAUGAUGGCAGAAUAUAGUAUUAAUGCUAAGAGAUCAGAGGGAUCUUGGGGUCCGAGUCCAUAGGACACUCAAAGCCGCUGUGUAGGUUGAUUCUGUGGUUACGAAGGCAUACGGUGCAUUGGUCUUCAUCAAUUGUGGGAUUGAGUUUAUAAGAGCCGAGAGGUAAUGUUGCAGCUAUAUAGGAACCUGGUCAUACCCCACUUGGUGUACUGUGCUCAAUUCUGGUCACCUCACUAUAGGAAGGAUGUGGAAACCAUAGAAAGGUUGCAGAGGAGAUUUACAAGGAUGUUACCUGGAUGGGGGAGCAUGCCUUAUGCGAAUAAGUUGAGUGAACUCAGCCUUUUCUCCUUGGAGCGACAGAGGAUGAGAGGUGGCUUAAUAGAGGUGUAGGAGAUAAUGAGAGGCAUUGGUUGGUGGUUAGUCAGAGGCUUUUCCCAAGGGUUAGCAUGAGAGACCAUAAGUUUAAGGUGCUUGGAAGUAGGGACAGAGGAAAUGUCAGGGAUAAGUUUUAUAUGCGGAGUGUAGUGAGUGUGUGGAAUGGGCUGUCGGCAGCAGUGGUGGAGGCGGAAAUGAUAUGGUCAUUUAAGAGACUCCUGGAUGGCUACAUGGAGCUUAGAAAAAUAGAGGGCAAUGGGUAAAGCCUGGGUAAUUCUAAGGUAGGGACAUGUUCAGCACAGCUUUUUGUGCCAAAGGGCCUAUAUUGUGCUGUAUGUUUUUCUGUGUUUUCUAUGUAAUUCAGGAGGGAGAGGCUGACAUCACAGCCCAAGCUGGGCUAGUCCAUUCAAGGCUCAGAAAACACACUUCACACUCCUCAGCACCUGUCAUCCUCUGCUCUGUGCAAUAAAGUUCUCAUUAAUUAUCAACAGUCUCCCUAUCUCAUGACAAAAACUGUAAUACUGGGGUGAGAGGCCUCUAACGAGAUUGCUAACCGGGCUGCUUGGUCACUGCCCUCCUCUGUGAGCACUAGCAUCACACAUUGCGUUAAGUUCAAAAAACUUUUUACUUUAACUCUGAUCUCUCAGGGAACCCCUAGCAACCUCUUGUGGAACCCCGGUUAAGAAACCCCGCAUUAAGGGGAAGACAAUUUUGGAUUGGGUUUCGUGUAAUAAACCAGAUUUGUUUAGGGAGCUUAAGGUAAAUGAACACUUUGUUUUGUCUUGUUCAUACUGCACCAACCGCUGCCUCUUGGCUAUAAACGUGCAGGAGCAAUGUGUGGUUACAUGCCUUGCUCAAGGACACAACAUGCUGCCUCAGCUGAGGCUCGAACUUGUGUCGUUCAGAUCACUAGUCCAACGCCUUACCCUCUUGGCCACGCGCCAACACUUUGGAGACAGUGGUCACAAUAUGCAAGAACUCAUCCUGCAGUCUGAGAGGGAAAAGAUAAAGUCAGAUGUAUCGGUGUUACAGUGGAGUAAAAAGAAUUAGAGGCUUGAGAGAAGAGCUGGCCAAAGUUAAUUGGAAGGAAACACUAGUAGGGACGACAGCAGAACAGCAAUGACUGGAGUUUCUGGGAGCAAUUUGGAAGCAGCAAGAUUGAUACAUUGUAAAGAUGAAGAACUAAAGGGAGAAUGUUGCAGCCAUGACUGUCAAUGGAUGUUAGAGACAACAUAAAAGCAAAAGAGAGGGCGCAUAAUAUAGCAACAAUCAGUGGGAGGUUAGAGAAUUAGAAAGUUUUUAAAAUGAAGCAGAAGGGAACUUAAAAAAGCCAUAUAGAGAAAAAAGAUGAAAUAUGAAGGUAAGCUAGACAGUAGUAUAAAAGGGGAAACCAGAGGGUUUUUUUCAAAUAUAAAAAGAGUAAACAGAGGUGAAAGUGGAUAUCAAACUCAGUUCUGCCAUUUCAAAUUGCUUCGGUCUACUCCAGCAACCAAAUAUUGGCGCAUUCCUGCACCCCAUCACCCCUAGCCCCGUCGCCUCAAUUCAGCCUGUACUUGUCAAACUGCAACCGUUAUGCAUCUUCAGGACUUCAGUUCACAGCGCCAUUUCAAAACCUCAACUCUGGCAGAGAAGUUACAGGCUAUUGAUUGCAAUGAUCAUUUUCAAGAAAAAAUGUGACUAACAAUGUAGUUAAUGUAUGCUGCCAACAAGUCAGCACUGUGCUUCACCAGCACCAGCUUUAGCUGGAAGAUUUGUUAGCAUUGGAAAUGAUCCAGAGGAGGUGCACGAGAAUGAUUCAGGGAAUGAAAGGGUUAAUGUAUGAGUAGCAUUUGAUACCUCUGGGCCUGUAUUCCCUGGAGUGUAGAAGAAUGAAGUGGGGUGUCUCAUUCAAAUCUAUUGAGUAUUUAAAGGCUAGAUAGAAUAGAUGUGGAGAGAAUGCUUCCUAUUGUGGUGGAGUUUAGGACCAUAGUGCACAAACUUGGAAUUGACAGACACCGCUUCAGAACAGAGAUGAUCAGGAAUUUCUUAAGCUAGAGGGUGGUGAAUCUGUGGAAUUCAUUGCCAUAGGCGGUUCUGGAUUCCAAGUUAUUGGGUAUACUUAAACUGGAAGCUGAUGGGUUCUUGAUUAGUCAGGGCAUUAAAGGCUACAGGAGACAGCAGACAAAUGUGGUUGAGAAGUAUCAUAAUCAGCCAUGAUGGAAUAGCAGAGGAGACUCAAUGGGCCAAAUGGCCUAAUUCUACUCCUAUGUCUUAUGGUGUUAACACACUGGGGAAACUGCACAUGUUCCAGGCCACUGUGGUUCUGAGUAAAUGGGACCAUUUAACUUGAGGACAAAUUAUGAUGAAUUGCAGUACAGUAAGGAGACAGUAAUACAGCUUUAUAACAUGCUGUCAUGACAACGACCUUUCCCCAGUGUCAAUGACCAUUGAGUGUAGGACCAGGGAGGGUGCAGUGCAAGUGUCCCUGUCUACAUGAAAGGUUUUGAGGUUCAGAGGAUUGAUACGUUAUUCCUAGGAAUCAACAUCUUCAAAAGCUUGUCGAGGUCUGACCAUGCAGACAUCAGAGCGAAGUUCACCAGUGCCUCAACUUCCUUGGGAGGUAAAAGAAAUUUAGCACAUCCCCCUGAAUGUUUACCAACUUUAUAAACGUACAGCAGAAAGCUUCCUAUCCACAGGCAUCAUCGCUUGGUAUGUCCCAUCAGUGAUGACCAGAUCCAAGAUCCCAGGUUGGUUCCAUGAAGCAGUGCUCCAGGAAACCAUUCAGGAAUUGACCUCAUAGCUUCCUUCUCCAGUUGUGGAUUGCUGUGGCACAUCAUAAGAGGAUUUUUCUCAAGUCACCUCUAACUCUGUUCCCUUUACAUUUGUGACCUCUGUCCUUGACCCCUCCACCAAAAAAGAACACCAGCCUAAUAUUCACUACCCAAAGCUCUGUCAACUUCUAUUCAACUUCCCUUUGACUUUCCCCAAAGAAAAUCCCCCUCUCCAAUCUUUCCUGGAAUAAUGAGAGCAUUCCUCAGAAAGCAUAACCAGGUUUUAGAUUUCCAAAGGCUAUCUGACAGGUUGACACAUCAGAGGAAUUGUGUUGGCACAUCAGAGGAAUCAGAGAAAAUUGGAUCCUUCAUGGAAACCAGAGACAUGGAAUAAAUGGGUCUUUUCAUAAACAGGAGAGAUUCUGCAGAUGCUGGAAAUCCAGAGCAAUAUGCACAAAAUAUUGGAGGAAAUCAGCAGGUUAAGCACCAUGUAUAAAAAUCAAAAAAAAAGGAAGUGGUGGAAGAUGAGAGAAUAGAAAGGUGGUGGGAGGACAAAUUUGAAGGUGACAGGUGAUACCAGUUGAGUCAGAAAGGUAAAGGGCUAAAGAAAAACUAAUCUGAUAGGACAGCAGAGUGGACCUAUUAGAAAGGGAAGAACGGAGCACCAGAGGCAGGUGGUAGGCAGACGAGAACAGGUAGAAACCAAAGUGGGGAAUAGAAGAAUGGGGAUGGGGAGAAUGGUAACAGAGAAACAUAGAAUCAUAGAAAACCUGCAGGACAUACAGGCCCUUCGGCCCACAUUGUUGUGCCUAACAUGUACUUACUUAGAAAUUACCUAAGGUUACCCAUAGCCCUCUGUUUUUCUAAGCUCCAUAUACUUAUCCAAGAGUCUCUUGAAAGACCCUAUUGUAUCCACCUCCACCACCAUCGCCAGCAGCACAUUCCACGCACUCAGCACUCUCUACAUAAAAAACUUACUCCUGACAUCUCCUCUGUACCUACUUCCAAGUAUCUUAAAACUGUGCCCUCUUGUGUUAGCCAUUUCAGUCCUGUGAAAAGACCUCUGACUAUCCACAUGAUCAAUGCCUCCCAUCAUCUUAUAUACCUCUAACAGGUCACCCCUCAUCCUCCACCACUCCAAAGAGAAAAAGCUGAGUUCACUCAACCUAUUCUCAUAAGGCAAGCUUCCCAAUCCUAGGAAAAAAGAGAAAAAUGAUUAUUGGAAGGAGAAAUCCAUGUUCAUGCCAUUAGGUUGGAGGUUACCUCAUUGUGGCAGAAGUGGAGACUAUGAACCAACAUGUCGGAACAGAACUUGGGAUGGAAGUUAAAAUGUUUGGCUAUGGGAAGUUCAGCUUUCAGUGGACAGAGUGGAGGGUCUUUUUCAAACUGGGUGGAGGUGACUAGUGGCCUGAAAUUAUUAUUUACAUUAAUACAGCACACAAGACAAUUACUUUGCCUGACAACUAUACCUUAUUAUCUGAGAUUUGGCUAAACAAUUCAGAUAUUCCCUGUCUAGUCUCAAAACAGACUCAUUCACCCAGCUGCAUCAUGGGACAACCUUCCCCAGCUUCGAGGAUGUUCUCGAAAGGCGGUGUCUCAAGCAUCCAUCAUUAAGGACCCUCACCACACAGGACACUCUCUCUGCUCGGUACUGCUGUCAGGGAGAGGGUACAGGAACUUGAGGACCCACACUCAGCCAUUCAGUCACAGCUUCUUCUCCUCUGUCAUCAGAAUUCUGAAUGGUCCAUGAACCCAUGAACACUGCCCCACUAUUCCUUUUAUGCACAAUUUAUUUCUUUAGUGUAAUUUGCAGUAAUGUUUGUAUCUUGCAUUGUACUGCUGCCACAAAACAACAAAUGUCACAACAUAUGUCAGUAAUAAUAAACCCAAUU